rnacentral:rRNA from 1 species
AGAGAUGUGUGAUGACGCAUAUCAAUAAGCGGAGGAAAAGAAACUAACAAGGAUUCCCCUAGUAACGGCGAGUGAAGCGGGAAGAGCUCAAAUUUGAAAUCUUAAAGGGUUUCCCUUUACGAAUUGUAGUUUAAAGAAGUGUUUUCUGUUGGAGUUUCGGUAAAAGUUCUUUGGAAUAGGACAUCAUAGAGGGUGAGAAUCCCGUAUUUGACCGUUACUUUCCAGCUGUGUGAUACACUUUCAAAGAGUCGGAUUGUUUGGGAAUGCAGUCCAAAAUGGGUGGUAAAUUUCAUCUAAAGCUAAAUAUUGGCGAGAGACCGAUAGCGAACAAGUACCGUGAGGGAAAGAUGAAAAGAACUUUGAAAAGAGAGUUAAACAGUACGUGAAAUUGUCAAAAGGGAAGCGUUUGACACCAGUGUUGUUUAGUUGAAAAUCAAUUACGAAUAGUUUUGAUUUUGAGUAGUUAUGACUUCAUCAGCUUGCUGCUCUCUUUACAGGAACUUCUUGAAUGCACUUUUCAGUUAACAAGUCAACAUCAAUUUCUUUUGUUGUAAAAGGGUAAUGAGGAAGGUGGCUUACGUUUCGGAGUAAGUGUUUAUAGCCUUGUACCUCUGCAAUCGGAGAGAUUGAGGUACAUGCAGCGUAGACUCCUUCUGGGGUUAGAUACAUUUGUGCUAAGUUAUAGCUUUUCAUAGACAACUUGUUGACUAUGUUUAGUCUUGUAGCUUACUCGCUUAUGCUAUUUUACCUACGCUUAGGAUGUUGAUCUGUAGUGCGUGCGC